CACCUCUGGUUCCCUUUCUGGGGGGAUCUGAACACCUGUCCCGGUGGUCGUAAAAGGAGGACUAGUUAUACUGAAGCUGUCCUCACGAGGCUUGUAGUCUGCUUUAUAGCAUGCGGGCUAGUUUCAAACAAGG
rnacentral:snoRNA from 1 species